rnacentral:pre_miRNA from 1 species
UUUGUACUCCCUCCGUCUGAAAAUACUUGUCAUCCAAAUGGAUAAAAAUGGAUGUAUCUAGAACUAAAAUACGUCUAGAUACAUCUUUUAUCUAUUUUGAUGACAACUAUUUCUGGACGGAGGGAGUAGAAA